rnacentral:tmRNA from 1 species
GGGGAUGCAGGGAAUCGAUAGCGAGACCUCUUAGGAACAUUCGAAACGUGCCAGCUGGUAAUCACGUAAAACUUGUCUAGCUAAACACAAGUGCAAAAAACACUCUAGCAAAAACCAAGGCUGCUUUCAGCAUGCCAGUUUUUGUACCCGUUGCCGCUUAAGUGCCGCAACCAUCCGCUCUAGUGACUCCUUAUAUCUAACAGCGGGUGUCAAAACAUAAGGAUAGAAUAAAAAUGCGUUUUCCAUUUUUAUUCGAAACUCUAGAAAACUAGCUCUGACUGAUUUUGUUCAGUUUUUACAGUCAUAGCGAAAUCACCAAACUGGAUCUACUUUCGUAAAUGUGUUUUUAAUAGCUUGUUAGACGCGGGUUCAACUCCCGCCAUCUCCACAG